rfam:Hordeum vulgare subsp. vulgare, WGS project CAJW01000000 data, contig: morex_contig_62621
AAAAUACUCCAUCCGUUCUAAAUUUUUUGUCUUAUAUUUAUUUAGAUAUGAAAGUAUCUAGUCACGCUUUAGUAUUUAGAUAUAUUUAUUUUGAGACAAAAUUAAGACAAUAAUUUUGGGACGAAGGGAGUACUUG